CCGUAGUACUCGUCAGCCGCCUAAACAUACCUACUGCGUUGGAGCCUCCGUUGAGCGACGUGCGCGUACUGCUUUCACAAUGAAGCGAGUGGCGAAAUGGUGAGUAACACGUGGGGAAUCUGCCCAGAAGCAGGGGAUAACACUUGGAAACAGGUGCUAAUACCGUAUAACAACAAAAUCCGCAUGGAUUUUGUUUGAAAGGUGGCUUCGGCUAUCACUUCUGGAUGAUCCCGCGGCGUAUUAUUUAGUUGGUGAGGUAAAGGCCCACCAAGACCAUGAUACGUAGCCGACCUGAGAGGGUAAUCGGCCACAUUGGGACUGAGACACGGCCCAAACUCCUACGGGAGGCAGCAAUAGGGAAUCUUCCACAAUGGACGAAAGUCUGAUGGAGCAAUGCCGCGUGAGUGAAGAAGGGUUUCGGCUCGUAAAACUCUGUUGUUAAAGAAGAACACCUUUGAGAGUAACUGUUCAAGGGUUGACGGUAUUUAACCAGAAAGCCACGGCUAACUACGUGCCAGCAGCCGCGGUAAUACGUAGGUGGCAAGCGUUGUCCGGAUUUAUUGGGCGUAAAGCGAGCGCAGGCGGUUUUUUAAGUCUGAUGUGAAAGCCUUCGGCUUAACCGGAGAAGUGCAUCGGAAACUGGGAGACUUGAGUGCAGAAGAGGACAGUGGAACUCCAUGUGUAGCGGUGGAAUGCGUAGAUAUAUGGGAAGA
rnacentral:rRNA from 2 species